rnacentral:lncRNA from 1 species
AAAAAUUUAUAUUUAAAUAUUAAUAUUUCUGUAUAAGAUAAAAAAAUAAAUCUUUUUAAAUUUACUAAAGUAAAUAAUUUACAAAUGUAUUUUUGAAAUAUGAAAGCCAAUAAAAAUAAUAAAAUUUAUUUUAUUUAUAAAUAUAGUUAUAAUUAAUUAAUACAAAUUAUUUAAAUAUAUUAAUGUUAAACAAUUUAAUUUAUUUAAACCUAAAUAAAAUUGGUAUGUGUUUACACUUACAAUAUUCAAAUGUGUGGCAUUAUGAGGUUAUGACAUGCAAACAAUUAUUGGGCCCGCAAUUAAGACCAUGGGCCCUUAAAGGAUUAGAAUUAAUCACAAUAAAUUUGUACAACUUUUCCAACACAGUGCACAAAUAAAUGCUACAGGACAGAAAAGUACAAUGGAAUCAAUCAUAUCUUUGGGCAUGAUAUGUAAUUAAAUGGAAGAAUGUGGUUUUUUUUUUUUGUAGAGGGUAAGGUCUGUAAUUAUAUGGAAAAAGGUGAACUUUUACUAAAAUUUUUAAUAAAGUUCAAAUGAGAUAGCAAAAAAGACCAUUUUGUUAAGAAACUUUGAUCUUUUAAACUCCUUUAAAUGACAUUAACAUCCUCAAAAUUUAUUUUAAUGUCUGCAAGUAGACAUGUUGAAGGUUACACAUCUAAUAUAGAUAAAUCAUGAGUAAAAAAUUAAUAAAUACUUUAGAAUAAAUUCAUAUUAGUAACUAAAGACAUUAUAUGCUUAAAUAAUCAUUAAAAUACCAAAAUAAUUUUCAAUUCAUGAUCUUCAUCAACUUAUAAGUAUUGUAUGUACUAAAUCAUGUUAUUAUGUGUGUUCCUUUGAUAUUUGCUUUUCUAUCUAAAUUUGCUUUCUCGUGAUUCUUUUUUAUUUUAAAAAACGUUAUCUAAUUAAGUGACUUUAGAACUUAACAGUUACUCCCUCCGUCCCGUUUUAUGGUCACCUUUUGAUUGGGAAAGAUUUUGUGAAGUUUACCAAAUUGUCCUUUUUAGGAAAGUAUAAAAAAGGAGUACUAUCUAUAAACUUUGGUGGGAUCAAUAAUGGUAAAAGGGAAAUUGUGCCUUUAAAUACAACAACAACAACAAACCCAGUGUAUUCCCACCUAGUGGGGUCUGGAGGGGUAAGAUGUACGCAGUCCAUACCUCUACCUCUAAAGAAGUAGAAAGGCUGUUUCCGAUAGACCCCCGGCUCAAGUUACGAGAUACCACACAAACUCAUAGUAAAGCACAGAACUAGAUUACAUAGCAUAAAUACGGCACCCAUAAGUAUUAGAAAACAGAGGAGAGCACACAGAUUCGUAAUAAAACAUGGAACACGGGAUCAUAACAAGAAUAAAACCCCUACCAAGUAAUUCCCUACCCUAGCAACCCAAACCGGCCCUAGUCUUCUGCCCUAAUUCGCGUCCUCCAGACCUUCCUAUCUCUAGGGUCAUGUCCUCGGUGAGCUUUAACAAACAGACUGCCUAAUAUUUAACUGAGAGUUUUAUUUAAAAGGGGUUUUAAUCCUUUUUUGCCCAUCAAAUUCAGUAGAUCAUGAUCUGAGUUUCCGUAAUCUCCUUGAAGUGAGUUGUGGGGAAUUCAUAAUGUUUCACGGAGUCGCUUAUUGAAGUGAAAAACAUUUCUAGCAUUUGGAUACACAAUCAGAAUGACCUUAUGGCUUGAAUUUACAUAAAAUCAAUUUUCAAAAAAGUUCAAGACAUUGAUUGGUUUUAAUGAACUAAGGUUAUAGAAAGGCAGAAAGGAAAAGAAUAGUUCCAAGACCCCACUGUCUCAAAUGAUUUCAAAAACGAUAAAAAACUGAAAAUCAAUGCAUAGAAAUCACUUCAGUUAGAGACUAAAAGGCUGAGAGUAAGAUGGAACAAUAAAGGCAAGAUCUGUUCUGCAGACACUUAAGCUUGUUAAAGAGCUUCUUGUAUCCAUCUAAGAUGACAUAUUGGUAGUUAUUAGUACUCUUACUUAGUAACAGGUGAAAGGGCAGCAAAGUGCACUAAAGCUCUAAUUUGUCAUUCACACCCCCUCGCGUCUCAUCUAUCAGAACUACAUCGUCUGCAAAAAGCAUACACCAAGGCACCUCCCCUUGAAUACGCCGCGUCAACACAUCUAUCACCAACGCAAACAAAAAGGGACUAAGAGUAGAUCCCUGAUGCAAUCCUGUCAAGACAGUGAAAUGCUCUGAGUCCCCUUCCGCCGUCCUCACCUGGGUUUUCGCUCCGUCAUACAUAUCCUUAAUUGCUCUGAUAUAUGCCAGCGGUACUCCACUCACCUCCAAGCAUCUCCAAAGCACCUCCCUGGGGCGGACCAAAAAUGGAAAAGUGUGUCACAUAAAAGGGGACGGAGGGAGUAUAAAUGCUUAUCAACAAAGACAUAAUUAAAGUACCACUAUAUUGAAUUAAUUACGGCUUAGGGAAAUAUGGUACAAAUUAACUUUCUUUAGUAAAAUUACAAUUUUUAUAUCUUGAUAAGCUUGGGUCCAGGCCUCUUGCGACAAGUAUAAUUAAUAAGCUUUAUAAAAUGAAUAACUCUAAAAUAAAAUUCCCAUAAAGAACCUUGUGUUCGAAUAAGAAUCUGAUUUAUAUUACAAGUAAAAACUAGAAAGAAAAGUUCAAUAGCAGGAUCCAAAAUUUAUCAAGAAUAGCGAACACUGCUAUAGAAAUCGAGUCACUGUUAAAGUAACAAUUUUCAAAUAAAAACCAGAUUUUAUCACAGCAAAAAACUAGAGCAAAAGAGCACUGAAAUUUCAGUUUUCUGAAUUUCGAACAAAGAGCACUAAAUCUAAUUUUGAUCAAGUAAAAGCCAAGAGAGAAUUCAACAUUAGACACAAUAGAAGUUUGUCAAUACCAAUCAAUACUAAACCCAGUAACCAUAAAUACCCAGAAACAGAAAAUUCAAUUACAGUUUUGACAGGUUAACAAGAUUACAAUCAUAGGGAAAAUUAGAGAUUACCUGAUCGAACAUUAGGAUCUGGAGAAACAGGAACGGACCUUGAGGAUACAAAAGUGAUUUGAUGGAGUCUUCAGAGACUUUGUUUUUGUGGUACAGAAGUGGUUUCUCGAUAGGAGUACGCUGGAGGAAAUUAUACAAAUAAAGAAACUAUAUACAAAAAAGAGGAAAAAAACUGAAUCUUACCAAGAUCUGAACAGUGUUAUUAAAGGCACGCUUAAGCCCUUAGGUGAGCCUCAAAGUGUGUUGAGCGCUUUGCCCGCUUUAUGUGCUCUUCAUUUUCGUCAUCAACUUUCUAAGGAAUACUUUUCCUUGCCAAUGAGUCUCUUCUAAAGAGGCGGCACUUAAGAAUUGACAUUUCACUUUAUCGUAAUUGUUUUUCAAUUUGUUUAUUCAUAUAUGUGUCAUUCAUGCGUAUGGUUAUUAGUCUUGGACUAAACAUAAAUAUUUGUAUUUUUUCUCCCUUUGUGCCUUUUUUCAUUGAAGCCAUUUGCGGUUUAAGCGCCAACAUACAUUAGAGCUUUUUUGCGCUUUUCACUUUUGAUAACAUUGGAUCUGAAGCUAAACACCAAGACGUGACCAAAUCUGUGAAUCUUGGAUCAAAUGAGUAUUAGUCUGAUUCCUGUCGGUAAGAAGUAUGUGAUUUGAAGAAGUCACCAGAGAAUGGAAUUGCUACAAUUUGCCGGAAAAAUGCUACCUACAAAUUUUAACAAUACUAGAUGAAUCUCUACGCUGAUUGUUAGAAUAUUAGUAGGAAUAGGAAUAUUAACCAAAAUCCUAAUUGGAAAAGGAUUAUAUAUGUCUAUAAAUAGUGUCAAUGUAAUUAUGUAGACAACAAUUUAAGAAUAUUUUCCCAUAUUUUUCACAUGGUAUUAGAGCAUUGGUGAGAAAAUUUCGGAAAAAAAAUUAUCAGUCACGUGUCAAUUUUCGGUGACUGUUUGAGUCAUUAUCUGUUUUGUGGGUUUUGUGCAAAAUACAACACUACCUAGAGGAUCGGAAAGCUCUGGCGACAAAUCUGAUCAAAACCACCGAAAAGUCCCCAGCCACUCGCUCCCACACGCUUGCCGGAAUUCCGGCGAUAUAUGUCACACGCUGGCGCGUGAGCCAUUCUCCGGCUGACUUUUUCGGUUCUUUCUUUUCUGUUGGGGUUGCCCAGCUACUCCGACCUCCUACUGGCUUUUGUUCUUCAGCUUUAACCAAGUUGCUCAUAUUUCGAUCGGGGGAACUGUAAUUUUGUCGACUUUAUAUUUUCUUUGGCGACUGAAAACUUUUUUUUUUCAGAUUCCGGCUAUAUAUUUUCUAAUCUUUUACUUGGUGUCCUAUGAUUAAAUUUGAGCCCUUAACGAGAUCAGAAAAUCAAACGUCACAGUCCAUGAAGAAUCGACGAGGGGAAGGUCAAUUUGGAAGAUCUCGUCCUAGGUGUAGUUAUUGUAAAAGGCAUGGAUAUACGGCCUAAGUAUAGUCAUUAUAAUAGGCUUGGACAUACUUGUGGAAUAUGUUAUUCUUUACAUGGCCGACCACCUAAAAAUGCUCAUAUUGCUCAGUCGAACACCACAGGUGAUCAAUGGAUGUAUUUAUCUAACAAAGAAUAUAAUGAGUAUCUUCAGUAUCGAGCAAGUAAGCUUAUAUCUCUUCCAAUAGCUUCAACUGCGUAAUAUCCUAUCUUUGGAUCAUGGGGUUGUGGACUCAGGUGCUUCUGAUCAUAUUUCUGGUGACAAAUCACUUCUGUCUGAUAUUGUUUAUUCACAAUCACUUUCUGCUAUUACUUUAGCCAUUGGAAUUCGAACAGAGCCAAAAGGAGCUGGACAAGCCAAACCCAUAUCUUUUGUCACUGUAGACUCUGGUCUUUAUGUCCCUAGUUGCCCUUUUAAUGUUGCACCUGUUAGUCGUUUGACACAUGCCCUUCAUUGUAGUAUAACUUUUUUUGAUGAUUCUUUUCUAAUGCAGGACCACAUGAAUCACAAGGCCUUUACCAUCUUACCUCUUCAGAUUCCUUCACAACACGCUCUGUUAUAGACCUUUCAGACCUUAUUCACAAAUGUUUGGGACAUCCGAGUCUAUCCAAGCUACAAAAGAUGGUGCCUAGUUUGUCUAGUUUAUGCACAUUAGAUUGUGAGUCGUGUCAACUUGAGAAACACACCCGUGCUACAUUUUCACGUAGUAUUGAGAGUCGUUCAGAGUCUAUUUUCUCAUUAGUUCAUUCUGAUAUUUGGGGUCCUAGUAGGGUCGGUUAACCCUUAGGAUUUCGUUACUUUGUUACUUUCAUUGAUGAUUUCUCAAGAUGUACUUGGGUUUACUUGAUGAAAGAUCGUUCUGAGUUAUUUUCUAUGUUCAAAAGUUUUUGUGCUGAAAUACAAAACCAAUUAUGUGUUUCUAUUCGUGCUUUUCGUAGUGAUAAUGCGUUAGAAUACUUAUCCUUCCCAGUUUCAGAAGUUUUCGACUCAUCAAGGAAUCGUUCACCAGACAUCGUGCCCAUACAAUCCUCAGUAGAACGGUAUAGCAGAAAGGAAAAAUAGGCAUCUCAUUGAGACUGCUCGCGCUCUUCUCAUUGAAUCCCAUGUUCCGCUGCGUUUUUUGGAUGAUGUAGUCCUCGCUUCUUGCUACCUCAUUAACAGAAUGCCAUCAUCUUUGAUCUAGAAUCAGGUUCCCCAUUCCAUACUAUUUCCUCAGUCGCAUCUCUACUCUAUCCCCUCUCGUGUUUUUGGGAGCACAUGUUUUGUUCAUAACUUAGUGUCGGGAAAUGAUAAAUUAGCCCCUUGUGCUCUCAAAUGUCUCUUCCUUGGUUACUCUCGAGUUCAAAAAGGGUAUCGAUGUUAUUCACCUGAACUUGGAUGCUAUCUUAUGUUUGCCAAUGUCACAUUCUUUGAAUCUCAACCUUACUAUACAUCUUCUGAUCUUCUUGAUAUCUCUGAGGUUUUACCCAUACCUGCAGUCUUAACCACACCAAUCUUUGAGGAAUCUACUAUUACUUCUCCAUCUCCAGCUGCAGUGCCACUACUUUUGGCUUAUCACCGCCGCCCGCGUCUAAUAUUUUGUCCCAGAGGAUUCAUGUCAUGCGCCUGACACUUCCCCUACCGCAGACCUGCCUCUUCUAGCCAAUCAGUUGCACUUCAAAAAGGUAUAAGAUUCACUCGUAAUGCUAACUCAUAUUAUACUUUCUUGAGUUAUCAUCGUCUGCAUCACCCCAUUAUGCUUUUGUAUCAUCUUUGUCCUCUAUUUUCAUUCCUAAGAUUACAGGUGAAGCACUUUUCCAUUCAGGAUGGAAACAGGCUAUGAUUGAUGAAAUGUCUGCUUUACAUAUGAGUGGUACUUGGGUGCUUGUUUCCCUUCCUGCAGGUAAAUCUACGGUUGGUUGGCUUUGAGUUUAUACAGUCAAAGUUGGCCUGAUUUCGUGUGGUUUACGACUUUCAAAGCGCUCCUGAUGGUCAGGUUGAUCGACUGAUGGCUCGCCUUGUUGACUAAGGAUAUACACAGAUAUUUGGGCUUGAUUAUUGUGACACUUUCUUUCCCGUGGCUAAAAUAGCAUAUGUUUAUCUUUUUCUCUAUGACUACCAUUUGUCAUUGGCCUCUUUAUCAGCUGGACAUUAAGAAUGCUUUUCUGCAUGGUAAUCUUGAGGACGAAGUCUAUAUGGAGCAACCACCUCGUUUUGUUGCUCAGGGAGAGUAUAGUAGCCUUAUAUGUCAAUUGCGCAAGUCACUCUAUGGUUGAAACAGUCCCCUCGAGCUUGUUCGGAAAGUUUAGCACAGUGAUUCAGGAGUUUGGCAUGAUUCGUAGUGGAGCUGAUCAUUCAGCGUUUUAUCGCCAUUCUGAACCAGAUUUGUGUAUUUAUCUGGUGGUUUAUGUUGACAAUAUUGUUAUCACCGGCAAUGAUCAAGAUGGUAUCCCUAACUUGAAGUGAAAUCUCUUUCAACAUUUCCAGAUUAAAGACCUCGGCAGACUAAAAUACUUUCUAAGUAUUGAGGUUGCACAGUUCAGAUAAGGUAUUGUUAUUUCUCAAUGCAAGUAUGCUUUAGACAUUCUUGAGGAGACAUGAAUGAUUGGAUGUCGACCCAUUGACACUCCUAUUGAUCCAAAUGCUAAACUUCUACUAGGACAGGGGGAGCCACUCAGUGAUCCUAGAAGGUAUAGGUGGUUGGUUGGUUGGAAGGUUGAAUUAUCUCACAGUGACUAGACCUGACAUCUCUUUUCCCGUGUGUUGUAAGUCAGUUUAUGACUUCCCUCUGUGAUAGUCAUUGGGAUGUAGUUGUUUGUAUUUUGCGAUAUAUAAAGUUUUCUUCAGGUAAAGGACUACUCUUUGAGGAUCGAGGCCAUGAGCAUAUCAUUGGAUAUACAGAUGCUGAUUGGGAAGGAUCACCCUCUGAUAGACGUUCUAUAUUCGGAUAUUGUCUUUUAGUAGGAAGUAAUUUGGUGUCCUGGAAGAGUAAGAAAAAGAGUGUGGUGCUCGAUCCAGCUCCGAAGUAGAAUAUCGAGCAAUGACUGCAACAACUUGUGAGCUGGUUUGGAUCAAAUAAUUGCUGACAGAACUAAAAUUUGGAGAAACCGGUACGAUGGAACUUGUAUGUGAUAAUCAAGCAGCCCUUCAUAUUGCAUCUAAUCAGUGUUCCAUGAGAGGACCAAGCACAUAGAGAUUGAUUGUCACUUUGUGAGAGAAAAGAUACUUUCGGGAGAUUAUUACAAAAUUUGUGAAGUCAAAUGAUCAACUUGCAGAUAUCUUCACCAAGUCCUUCACCAGUACUCGUAUUAAUUACAUUUGUAACAAGCUAGGUACAUAUGACUUGUAUGCACCAGCUUGCGGGGAGUGGUAGAAUAUGAGUAGGAAUAAGAAUAAUAUACAAAAUCUUAUUUGGAAAAGGAUUGUAUUGUAGUGUCUAUAAAUAGGGUGUCAAUGUAAUUAUGUAGACAACAAUUCAAUGAUAUUUUUCCAAUAUUUCUCACACGGAUUAGUAUGAAAAAUGAAAAUGAGUUUCAUAAGGAUUAGGAUACCUAGUUCAAGUACAUAUACGGUAGUAGACUUACAUGUAAUUAAUUAUAUAUGAUAGGAGUCCUAUGCAUUGUGUUAUUAUACAAUACAACUGUUGCUCUCAUCUAUAAACAGGAGUCUAUUCAGCCGUGUAAAAUCAAUUCACAUAAUACAAUAUUUAGCAUUCUUCUUUAGCUAAACCUUGCUAAGUUUCUUCAUGGUAUCAAGAGCUUUGGUCUUAAUCCAAAAUCAAUUUGUAUCCUGAAUCCUAUACCACACACAAUGGCUAGUUCAUCAUCUUUAAGCCUCUCCCUUCACCGGCUUCCCUUCAUCAACUCAUAGCCAUAUGUCGUAUAAAAUUUAAACCCUCGAACUAUCUUGUUUGGAAAACCCAAAUUACUCAAUUGAUGCAGACUUUGGAAAUUGGCGAGAUUAUUGUGAGGGAUCCACCAUCUAAGGUCAUAGUAGAUGAAAAAGGAGGACAGAUACCAAAAUCUAAGUUCCUUGAAUGGGAAUAAAGGGAUGCCACCACUAUUGAUUUUGUGCCAUCUAGGUGUACAUCACAAAGCUCACCUGGUGAGAACCAAAAAUCUCCAACAGCCAGUGUUUCAAAUACAACUACAGGUUCAUUGCUUGGUGUGUCCACAGGUAUUGAUAUAUGUGUUGAUUUGGGUUGUCACCAGUGUCCACCUACGACAUUGCAAUUUUCUCCAAAGAAUACUCAUCACAUGGUUACAAGCUAAGUUGCUUGGACUUAAGUGCGGGUGUCUGAUAUGGGUACAGAUUUAGAGGUCGGAUCCUUCACGGUCUCGAUUUAAAGAUUCGGGGAUAUGGAUCUAGAGAUGGAUACGGGUGCGGAGAUUCGGCGAAAAAUAAUUUAGAUAUCUAAAAGUAGAGGUAAAACAUAAAUAAUGAGAUAUUAUGCGGAAAACUAGAGGACAAAACAUUGUUCAAGAAAAUCCUAAAAGGAGAUAAAAUGAAAAACAAUAACAUAAAAAUUUCUAUAUACAAGUUAUUCCAUUUUCUUCAAUUUCAUCUUAGCUUUUGUUUUGAUUACAUAACUUCUUAAAUCUGUCCGGACUUUCCCAACCCUAAAAUUGGUUGACCAGAUCGGGUACAAAUCUCACACCCACACCUAUACCCCUGUCGUGUCGACACAGGUGCGGCACCGAAAGUGAAGAGUCCAAGUAACUUAGGUUACAAGGACAAAGUCAACAACCAUGUCACACCCGCCAGAUUCCUUAGCCCUUUUGGUUGCUGUUAAUUCUAAUCCCAGUGAACCAAGGAACCUAAAAGAAACAUUAUCUCAACCUUACUGGCUGCAGGCUAUGAGCGAAGAAAUGCAGACAUUAUAUCAAAAUAAAACCUGGAAACUUGUAAAACGAGAACCUUAAAUGAAUGUAAUUGGAUCUAGGUGUGUCUUCAAGUCACAAAUGGAGGCGGAUGGCGCAAUUGAGAGAUAUAAAGCUUGUUUGGUAGCGAUAGAAUAUAAUCAAAUCGAUUUUGAAGACAUGUUCAAUCCGGUGGUGAAGGCUAUAACAAUUCACAUAGUUUUAACGGUAGCAACGGUUCAUGAAUGGCCUCUUCACCAACUUGACAUAAAAUAUGCCUUUCUCCAUGGGCGUCUCAAAGAGACUGUCUAUAUGAAACAACUUCUAGGUUUUGAAGAGACUAUUGUACGAGAUCAUGUUUGUCCACUCCAAAUGGCCAUCUACGGAAUAAAGCAAGCACCGAAGGCUUGGUUUCAAAGGUUUAGGCCAUUUUUUUUUUAAGAUUCAGACGUUUGAAUCUGAAUGCACAUUUGAAUGAUUAAUAUGUUGUCUCCAAAUCUGAAAACUGAAUGAUUAAGAUUGUUUUUCAACCUCUGAAUAUGCAAUUUUUUUUAAUUUGUAUAUAUAAUAAAAUAAAAAAUAUAAUUUAAAUAAAAGAUUAAUUAUAUAUUAGAAAAGUAUGUAAUUUCAUACAACAAAAUUAUUAUUUGAUUGAGAAAAAAUAUUUUUGUUUGUUAGUGACAGUGGAGAUGGUUUAUAAUGGUGGUUGCGGUGACAAUGGUUGAUGUUAGUGAUUAAUAAUGUUGGUGGUGAUAGUUGUGAUGGUUGGUAUUAGUGACUGUUAUGAUGGUGGUGGUGGUUGUGAUGUGACGUCGCUUGAUAUUAGUAGUUUGAGGUGUUGAUUGUGUUGGCUGAAACAUGAAUGCAUGAUGGUUGACGAUGUGUUGGUGCUAGUUGGAGAUGUUGUUUGUUAUGAUGGUGGAGAUGAUUGUUAGUAGAGAUAAUUGUAGCGAUAGUAGCGGUUGAAGUGGUGGUAGAGGUGGCGUUACUAGUGACAAUGGUGAUGGCGGCCGAAGAAUGUGCGGAGGUUGUGACGUAUUAGUCGUAGUUAGUAGUGGUGCUAGUUAUGAUAGAUGAGUUGGUCGGUGGUAGGGAUUGACCGGUAGUGGUUGAUGAUGGUGGUGCUGGUGACGGCGGUGAGUAUAAUUAGAAUAAUAGAGGCAGUAGGUGUGGUAGCGAUUGACAAUAGUAGUUGGUAGCGAUAAUUGUUGUUGAUGGUGGUUGUGAUGGUGGAGGUGGUGGGUGGUGGUGGGUGGUGGGUGGCAAUGAUGGCGGUGGCAGAGGUGGUUAGUGGUGGUGACUGCUGAUUAUGAAUAGAGUGGUGAAUAUUAUCCAAUACCAGAAUAUCUCUUCAGACCUAUUAAGACUUGAUUUUAGAUCUAAAUAAUUAAAAUCUACUCAGACCUAUUAAGAGCUAAAAUCUUAAUAACAAGCAAAUGCACUUAAUGGUCUGAAGUCUGCUAUUCAGAUUCAGACCUGCAUUAAGUGCAAACAAAUGAGGCCUUAGUGAAGCUCGUCUUCACCUAAGCUUCCGAAGAAGCCAUGCUGAUUCCUCUCUAUUUGUUUUUUGUCACAAAGGUGAUAUCAUGAUUUUAUUGUUACAUGUUGAUGAUAUAGUGAUAACUAGGAAUAAUAUCAAAGCUUAUGCAUGUGGGGGCUGGUUGGAGACGGAGGAGGAAACAGAGUUAAAAAAUCAUCUCAGAUGGGCACAAAUCAAGGCCAAAGGUCUUCUGGAGAAGAUUCCUACUACUGUGGUGGUGGAAGAUGGUGAGUGGACUUUCACACUACUGAUAUGGUGUGAAACGCCGGUGAAGUUUAGAAGAAAUAGUGUUUCGUACUAUCCCAGUGAUGACGUUCUCAUGAAGAAUGCUGGUAAAGAAAUCAAGAGAAUCUUUUCGGCAGAGUCAGAGAUGAAACAUCAGAAUGGAAAAGAAACCGCAGUGAAGAACAUAGCAGAUAUCAAAGAAGAUAGAGUCUUUUACACGAUGGACAACAAAGGUGCGUGUAGCAACAAAAAUGAAGGGUAGGGACCCACAGGGCAUCUUUUAAAUUUAAUGAAGGCUGGGCCUGCUUGUUAUUUAAAGAAAAGUGGACCAGUUUUUAUAGGUCCCACAAAGUCAGAUUUAAUUGAAAGAUCGCCUCUACCAAUUGAGCCUUUUACUGAAAAAGCUAAUAUCAACCUUGAAAACACCAUGGAGCUGGAAAACUCUUGCACGUUCAACUGCAGUGGAGAAAUAAGGGAGAUAGAACGGUGAGGAGGGACUGCUGAUGACAUGCAACUCUAGAAUUCAACUCCAAUCGGAUGUGCAACACAAAUUUCAAAAGCAGUGCAAGAAGUAAGCACAAAAAAUGGGACAGUAGGGACAAUGGAGGAGGAGGUAAAAGCAGGAGAUAAACAACUGAUACGAUUGGAGGAAUGAACACCUAUUUAAUGCGUUUCUAGUAAUUGUGAUACAGAGGUAGCAGGUAGGGUAUCUUCAUGGGUUCAACAAAAUAUUCUCAAGUUGAGCAAGGAAUUUGGAGCUAUUUUUGAUGACUUUGAAAAAGAAAAAGAAGCUCUACUCGUAAAGCUGGAGCAAAGGAUAAAGCCUACAAUGGAGUCUAUCAACAAUAACCAGUUGGUGCCAAAAGAAGUGAGGAACCUAAUUUCCGAAUUAAAGUACAAGGGUGGAGAACCUAGGAGUCAGCUAAGAAAGGGGAGGAGACCUUAUAUAGGGGAUCAAUGAAAAUCAGAAUCAUGUCUUGGAAUGUUAUGGGGUUGAUAAAAGGAGAUUGGUGAAGCAAAUUUUACACCAAUGGAGGGCCAAUAUUCAUGUUUUGAUAGAAACAAAAUUAGGGGGAGAUGUGAAGAGUGUGCUAGGGGAGCUAUUGGCUAACAGUUGUGGGGGGGGACACAUUUAAAAGCUAGGGGUAGUAGUGGGGGGAUUUUGAUUAUGUGGGAUAUGAGGGAAUGGAAAGGGGAACUGGUAGAAGUCGGGGGACAAGUGAUCACUUGCAAAUUCACCGGAGUUGACCAAGAGCUGACUUGGUCACUCAGUGUUGUAUAUGCAUAUUGCAGCAAGGUGAUUAGAAGGGAGUUGUGGAGUGCUUUGGUGGCCAAGACAUUUGUGAGUGCAAGUGGGUGGUUUGUGGUGACUUUAGUGUCACUAGAUUUAUAGCCGAGAGAGUUGAUUGUCACAGAAUUUCAGGGGCUACGUCUGAAUUUUCUGAUAGCAUAAAUAAUUUGGAGCUGGUAAAUUCUCCUUUAUUUGGAGGGUCUUAUACAUGGAAAAGUGGGGACAAUCAUAGAAGUGCUUCUUGAAUUGACAAGUUUCUGUACUCAGCUGAUUGGGAGGAUAUUUUUCUACAAGUGAAACAGAACGUGCUUCCAAGUAUAGGGUCUGAUCAUAACCCUAUCAUGCUGACUUGUGGGGACUGGGAACUUAAGAGGUCUUCUUUUAGAUUCGAGAAUUGGUGUCUAGAAGUGGAAGGAUUUAAGGAGAAAGUGUGUGGUUGGUGGAAUUCCAUCCUAAGUAGGGUGGACCUGUUUUUGUUCUUGCUAACAAACUAAAACUUCUUAAGAAGGAGCUAAUUCAGUGGAGUAAAAUCAUCCGGGUGAACUGGAAGCAGAAGAAAGGAGAUUCUAAACAAAUUAGCUCUUUUGAAGUUUUUCAGGAGCAGAGAAGCCUCACUAAUGGUGAGGUCCUUCAGAAGUCACAUCUAGCACUAGAAUUUGAGGAGGUGGCAAAGAGGGAGGAAAUAGCUUGGAGAUGAAGAUCAAGAGUGCAAUGGUUGAAAUCUGGAGACCAAACUCCAAAUUCUUCCACAGGGUUGCUAAUGCACAUGAGAGAUAUAAUCACAUAAAUUCUCUGGAACUGGAGGGGCGAAAUAUCACAGAACCUGAAGCAAUAGAAGUUGCUAUUCUGGAUUACUAUUAGAACCUGUAUAAAGUGACUGAAAAAUGGAGACCCGAGUUCAAUGUCCAUGAUACGAAUGUGAUCUCUGUUGAAGAUCAAAUAUGGUUGCAGGGGAGCUUUGAGGAUGAACAAGUAUGGGAGUGCAUAAAGUCAUGUGCUAUUGAUAAGGCACCUGGCCCUGUUGGUUUUAAUAUGAACUUCUUCCAACUUUUUGGAACCUGAUCAUGAUUGAUUUGAUGGGAACUAUGCAAUAUUUUCAUGAGCAUCAAGUGUUUGAAAGAAACAUGGAUGCCACGUACAUAGUCCUUUUCCCCAAAAAAGGAGGAGCAGUGGAAUUGAGAGACUUCACGCCUAUUAGUUUGAUAUCAGUAGUCUACAAGAUUAUUGCAGAAGAUCUAGCAGAAAGGCUGAAGAGGGUGAUAGACAACUUGGUUAACGAGCACCAAAUGGCUUUUGUUAAAGAGAGAAAUUAUGGAUGCAACCUUGAUAGAGUUAGUGAAUGCAUUGACGCAACAACUAGAAGGGAAGUGGCUAGUGUGAUGUGUAAGCUGGAUAUUCAAAAGUCAUAUAUGAUCAUGUAAACUGGAACUAUCUACUGAGCAUUUUAAAACAGUUGGGAUUUGGGGAUAGAUGGCUAGGGUGGAUGAUUUUUUGCAUUAAAACCAUCCAGUUCUCUUUAUUGGUUUAUGGAGAACCUAUUAGUUUUUUUCCAUCUACAAGAGGGUUGAGACAAGGAGAUCUUUUAUCCCCUUUCUAUUCAUCUUAGCAAUGGAAGGGUUCAGUAGUAUGGUAAAUAUUGCAACCCAAAAUAACUGGCUCAAAGGCUUCCAGAUACGGGGUGAUAAUAUGGGGGAUUUGGAAAAUUUUCAUCUUUUUAUAUGCAGACGACCCCAUUAUUUUUUGUGAAGCGGAAAAGGAGUAGAUUAGUUUCAUUAGAGUACUACUGGUGGUAUUUGAAGCUGUUUUAGGGCUAAGGGUGAUUUGAAGCUGUUUUAGGGCUAAGGAAUGUUUUCCCAUAAAAGAAGUUCCUAACACUCAGAUUAUGUGACAAUUCUUAGGAUGUGGAGUGACAAACCUUCCCACUGAUUAUCUAGGUAUGCUACUUGGGAGUAGACAUAAGGAUGUGGAGAUUUGGAACAAUAUUGUGGAAAAAACUGAGAAAAGCUCGCCCAUUGGAUGUCUCAGGAUUUCCCUUGGGGAGGGUCACUCUAAUAAACUCAGGUUUGGAUCCUGUCCCUACUUAUGUGAUGUUCUUAUUUCCUAUCCCGACCAGAGUGGUGAAGAGAUUGAAUAGAUUAAGAAGGAAUUUUUUAUGGAAUGGGAAAAAAGAAAGGGGAGGAUAUAACCUGGUGAAGUGGGAAGUGGUUCAGUUGAGGAAAAUGUAGGGGGUACUUGGCAUCAGAAAUUUAAAAAUUCAAAAUAGCAAUCUUUCGAUGAAGUGGUUAUGGAGAUUCAGCAAGGAGGAAACCUUACUCUGGAAAGAGGUCAUCUCUCAUAAAUUUGGACAGGAUACUUUUUGAUGCUCUAGAGAGUUUGAUACCUAUGGUGUUGGAGUGUGGAGAACUAUUAGGACUCUUUGGUCAAAGCUGCAUGCAGACUCUAGAAUUAGGGUAGGCAAUGGUGACGGAACCAAGUUUUGGAAAGAUACUUGGAUCGGGCAAACUACACCCCAAGAAGCUUUUCCUGAUUUAAUGACCUUAAGUAGCAAUCUUGAAGUUCAUAUCAAUCAGUGUUGGUCCCCUCAAAGUUGGAAUCUGAAUUUUAGAAGACAUCUAAAUGAUUAGGAAGUGGAAAGGGUGGUUGAGUUGUUGAAAUUGGUGGAGGACUUCUAAGUCACAGUUACUGAAAUUGAUUCUCUGAAUUGGAAACAUAAGACGGAUGUCAUCUUUUCUGUGAGUAGGCUUUACAAAAAUGAAAAUAAUGCAGCUCGAACUGAGAGGUUAGAGAUAUGGAAAAGAAUCUCGAAGAGCAUGGUUCCAACUAAGGUAAAAUGCUUCACAUGGCUAGUAGUAAAGAAGCUCUGUCUUACUAAUGAAGUACUACAAAAGAAGGGGAGAGUAGUGGUGACCAGAUGUUUCUUGUGUAAUGAGAUGGGGAAACAAACAAUCACCUAUUCUUACACUCUUAAGUUCACCACUCAGAUUUGGAGCUUGUUUUUCAGCCUCACAAAGACAAGAGCGGAUCAUGCCUGAACGCACAACUGACCUGAUGAGUUGCCGGAUUAGAAGAGGGGGGAGCAAGAGACAGAGAAAAUGGGGGAGGGUGAUACCCUCGUACAUUUGGUGGUCAUUAUGGAAGGAAAGGACAGGAAGAUGUUUUGAAGAUAAGAUCAAGUCCAUCCAUGAUAUAAAAUGGAGUUGUUUAGUGUCUUUAUUUUUUUGGUGUAAAGAAAGUUGUAUAGAGGAGAUAGAUGACUUGGUAAACUUCUUAGGUGAGCUGUAGAGCACUAGGGUUAGAGUCUAACAAUUUAAUGUAACAGUGUUAGUGUUUUUGAAGGCAGCCAACGGUCCUUAAUUGUUGAGGAAUGCAACAGUAAUAAUUGUUAAAUCUCCAAACUAGAUACUCACUUUGCCUUAAAAGAUUUGGGCAAGUCUCCCUUUUUUUCUUUGGCAUUGAAGUUGUGCCAUAUAUAGAUGGAACCUAUCUUAGUCACAAGUGAAAUAUGCUAAGGACAUUCUCAAAAAGACCAUGAUGCACUGUGCUAGAGCAAUCCAUACACCAUUGUCACAGAAGAGUGAUUUCAUCUCACAACUGGACCUCCCAUGAUGCCUUUGAUUAUUGAAGUACAGUUGGAGGGCUUCAAUAUCUUACAGUAACACAUCCUGACCUUACUCGUGCUGUCAAUCAAGUGUGUCAGUUUAUGCAAGCUCCUACAGCUAAACAUUGUUAAGGUGUGAAAUUUAUUCUUCGUUACCUUGUUGCGACUAUAAAUUUUGGACUUCAAAUCACUUCCAGGUCAUUACAGGUUAUUGGCUUCUCAGAUGCAGAUUGGGCAGGAUGUGCUAUCACUCUUCGAUCAACAACAGGACUUUGUGUGUUCUUAGGUGCUAACUGCGCCUCCUGGUCGUCUAAGAAGCAACAUACCAUGUCAAAAUCUAGUGCCGAAGCUGAGUAUCACGCUCUUGCUUCUCUUGCAGCUGAAACCACGUGGAUUCUUCAUUUGUUACAACACCUCGGAGUAUCACUUGCUUCUCCUCCAGUCCUUUAUUCCGACAAUAUCUAUGCCUUACAUCUCACCAGUAAUCCCAUUCUCCAUGCUCGCACAAAGCAUGUUGAACUAGACUAUCAUUUUGUACGAGAGAGUUGCAGCUGGUGCAAUGGUCACUAAAUAUGUUCCAGCGGCAACUCAAGUGGCUGACAUUUUUACGAAGGCAUUGACAAAGCAGCAAUUUCAGUUUUUACGGGGCAAGCUUGGUGUUGUAUCACAUCGUAAGGAUUAAGAAGGUGAGGGCUUAUCUCUAAUACAUCAGGAUUAGGAGUGAUACUACUAUUUCACUCAUGUAGUAGAUGAUACAUCACUGCCAACCUCAAGCAUGAGGCGGAAUGAAAAUGAGUUUCAUAAGGAUUAGAAAUCCUAGUUCAAGUACAUAUACGGUAGUAGACUUAGCAUAAGUAUGUAAUUAGCUAUAUAUGAUUGGAGUCCUAGGCAUUGUGUUACUAUACAAUACAGCUGCUACUCUCAUGUAUAAAUAGGAGGCUAUUCAGCCGUGUAACAAUCGAUAUGUAGUACCUGUUGUAGUCAUAUUUGGUAUCUAUCAUUAAUGAUUGAAAAAAUAUGUAGUAUCUAAAGUUUGCUUUUUGCUCUUUCUUGUGUUCUCUCUAUAUCUGAUGUAUCUUGCAAUGUAGUAGAUGAUUAUUAACAUUAUCUCAUUUUUUAUUUCUUUUAGUAAGGUAAGUAAUUUUAUUAACAUUUUGGGGAACCCCGUGUACAUACAUCAAAAGGAGAGAACAACAACAAUCAACAACAACAACAAACCCAGUGUAUUCCCAGCUAGUGGGGUCUGGGGGGGUAAGAUGUACGCAGUCCAUACCUCUACCUCUGAUGAAGUAGAAAGACUAUUUUCGAAAGACCCCCGGCUCAAGGCACGAGAUACCACACAAACACAUAGUAAAACACAGAAGCAGAUUACAUAACAUAAAUACGGCACCCAUAAGUAUUAUAAAACAGAGGAAAGCACACAGAUUCGUAAUAAAACAUGGAACACGGAACACGGAAUCAUAACAGGACUCAAACCCCCACCAAGUAAUUNNNNNNNNNNNNNNNNNNNNNNNNNNNNNNNNNNNNNNNNNNNNNNNNNNNNNNNNNNNNNNNNNNNNNNNNNNNNNNNNNNNNNNNNNNNNNNNNNNNNNNNNNNNNNNNNNNNNNNNNNNNNNNNNNNNNNNNNNNNNNNNNNNNNNNNNNNNNNNNNNNNNNNNNNNNNNNNNNNNNNNNNNNNNNNNNNNNNNNNNNNNNNNNNNNNNNNNNNNNNNNNNNNNNNNNNNNNNNNNNNNNNNNNNNNNNNNNNNNNNNNNNNNNNNNNNNNNNNNNNNNNNNNNNNNNNNNNNNNNNNNNNNNNNNNNNNNNNNNNNNNNNNNNNNNNNNNGAACAUUGAAUACGGAAUCAUAACAGGAAUACACCCCCACCAAUUAAUUCCCUGCACUAGCGACCCGCACUGGCCCUAAUCCUCUGCCGUAAUUCGCGUCUUCCAGACCUUCCUAUCUAGGGUCAUGUCCUCGGUGAGCUGUAACUGUUCCAUGUCCCGCCUAAUCACCUCACCCCAGUACUUCUUCGGUCUACCUCUACCCCGUCUAAAACCAUCCAACGCUAGCC